GGCUGAACCAAGGCUGCCCCAGAGGGAAGAGUGCUGAUUGAAGCAUAGCGUACUGCGACUACGAGGUUGUCUGUCUGGAGCUAUGAAAAACAAGAUGAGCACCCUUGGAGAAGAGACAGUACAACUUAUUAAUACCAUUAAGCAGUCCUCUGGAUCCAGCUGUGACUCAAGCCAGAGCUACACAUGGCCUUCCAAUUAUACAAACCAACAAAUCAUCUUUCAUUUUUGCUUAAGUUAAUUGUAAGCUAGGCUUCAUCCUUUGCAACUGGAAGAAUUUUGAUUAAUACAAACAAGUUGCUUCA